rnacentral:rRNA from 1 species
CAUACUGCCGUGAAUACGUUCCCGGGCCUUGUACACACCGCCCGUCACACCAUGAGAGUUGGAGAUACCCGAAGCCUGUGAGCUAACUUUUAGAGGCAGCAGUCGAAGGUAGAAUCAAUGAUUGGGGUGAAGUCGUAACAAGGUACC